UUUAGGUAGUUAAAGCUUUCAUAAUACUAACUGAGAAAUAUAAUGACGCUGAUAAAGAAGAAUUGAUAAUACAGUUACAAGAUCACGUUAAAAAUAUUACUUCUCCUUAUAAAUAUCCUAGAAAAAUUGAAUUUGUAGAAGAUUUGCCAAGAACGAUAAGUGGAAAAGUACAAAGAUUCAAAUUACGAUUAAAAGAAAGAGAG